rnacentral:rRNA from 1 species
UACGUAGGUGGCAAGCGUUGUCCGGAUUUACUGGGCGUAAAGGGCGCGCAGGCGGCUCAUUUUGUCAGGCGUGAAAGCCCCGGGCUUAACCUGGGAACUGCGUUUGAUACGGAUGGGCUAGAGUUCGGGAGAGGAGAGUGGAAUUCCCAGUGUAGAGGUGAAAUUCGUAGAUAUUGGGAAGAACACCGGUGGCGAAGGCGGCUCUCUGGACCGAUACUGACGCUGAGGAGCGAAAGCGUGGGGAGCGAACAGG